rnacentral:rRNA from 1 species
AGGGCGCAUGGCGGAUGCCUUGGCUCUCGGAGGCGAUGAAGGACGUGAUAAGCUGCGAUAAGCUUUGGGGAGGUGCAAAUGACCUUUGAUCCAGAGAUUUCCGAAUGGGACAACCCAAUAUCUUGAAGAGGUAUUAUCCAACGUUGUUGGAGGCUAACGCAGGGAACUGAAACAUCUUAGUACCUGCAGGAAAAGAAAAUAAACAAUGAUUCCCCCAGUAGUGGCGAGCGAACGGGGAACAGCCCAAACCAUCCAUGUUACGGCAUGGGUGGGGUUGUAGGACUACGCCGUUGCAUGAAGACAUCAGAGAAGAACUUUCUGGAAAGAAAGACCAUAGAGCAUGACAGUUGCGUAUUCGAAUGUUGUCGAAGCAUAGUAGUAUCCUGAGUAGCGCGGAGCACGAGGAAUUCUGCGUGAAUCUGCCGGGACCAUCCGGUAAGGCUAAAUACUCCCGAGAGACCGAUAGCGAACCAGUACCGUGAGGGAAAGGUGAAAAGCACUUCGAACAGAAGAGUGAAAUAGUUCCUGAAACCGUGCGCCUACAAGCGGUCGGAGCUCGUUAAUGAGUGACGGCGUGCCUUUUGCAUAAUGAACCUACGAGUUGCCUUUGCCGGCAAGGUUAAGUGUGACGACACACGUAUCCGAAGCGAAAGCGAGUCUGAACAGGGCGUAUAGUCGGCAGUGGCAGACGCGAAACCAAGUGAUCUACCCUUGGCCAGGUUGAAGGCUGGGUAACACCAGCUGGAGGACCGCACCAAUAAGCGUUGAAAAGCUUCUGGAUGAGCUGAGGGUAGGGGUGAAAGGCUAAUCAAACUUGGAGAUAGCUCGUACUCCCCGAAAUGCAUUUAGGUGCAGCCUUGCGGGUUACUGAUGUGAGGUAGAGCGACUGAUAAGAUGCGAGGGCUUCACCGCCUAUCAAGUCUUGACAAACUCCGAAUGCGCAUCAGUUCUACCGCAGGAGUGAGGGCAUGGGUGCUAAGGUCCGUGCCCGAGAGGAGAAGAAUCCGGACCACCUGCUAAGGUCCCGAAAUGACAGCUAAGUUAAACUAACGAAGUCUGACUGCUAAGACAGCUAGGAUGUUGGCUUGGAAGCAGCCAUUCAUUUAAAGAGUGCGUAACAGCUCACUAGUCGAGGAGUCGGGCGUGGAUAAUAAUCGGGUAUUAAGUUGUCUACCGAAGCAGUGGGAUCAUUAAUAUGAUCGGUAGGGGAGCAUUCCAGUCAGCGUCGAAGGCGUACCGUGAGGUAUUCUGGAGCGUCUGGAAAAGCAAAUGUAGGUAUAAGUAACGAUAAAGGGGGCGGGAAACCCCCUCGCCGAAAGACUAAGGUUUCCUGAUCAACGCUAAUCGGAUCAGGGUCAGUCGGGUCCUAAGGCUCAGCCGAACGGCGAUGCCGAUGGCAGAAACGGUUAAUAUUCCGUUACUACCUUCAGGAGUGACGUGGAGACGCAGUAGUGACAGUGCCGCCAUCUGACGGAAUAGAUGGUUGAAGGGUGUAGGAGUCGAUCAUGGCAGGCAAAUCCACCAUGAGAUCCGAACCUGACAGUAUGCCGCGUCCUUCGGGACAAGGCAAUAGUGCGCGUAAGCAUGCUGCCGAGAAAAUCCGCUAAACUUAAUCCUGCAGGUACCCGUACCGCAAACGGACACACGUAGUCGGGAUGAAUAUUCUAAGGCGCUUGAGUGAUUCACGGUUAAGGAACUAGGCAAACUGACCCUGUAACUUCGGGAUAAAGGGUCCCUACCCUUUUAUGGGAGGGCGCAGAGAAUCGGUCCAGGCAACUGUUUAACAAAAACACAGGGCUGUGCCAAAUCGAAAGAUCCAGUAUACAGCCUGACACCUGCCCGGUGCUGGAAGGUUAAGAGGAGAUGUCAUCGAUAAGAGAAGCGUUGAAUUGAAGCCCCAGUAAACGGCGGCCGUAACUAUAACGGUCCUAAGGUAGCGAAAUUCCUUGUCGGGUAAGUUCCGACCUGCACGAAUGGUGUAAUGAUCUGGACGCUGUCUCAACCGUGAGCUCAGUGAAAUUGUAGUAUCGGUGAAGAUGCCGAUUACCCGCGAUGGGACGAAAAGACCCCGUGAACCUUUACUAUAGCUUAUCAUUGAAUCUGGGCACGUGAUGUGUAGGAUAGGUCGGAGGCUUUGAAGCAGGUACGCCAGUAUUUGUGGAGCCGCUGUUGAAAUACGACCCUUUAUUUGUUUGGAUUCUAACCCGUGGAUACGGGGACAUUGAUUGGUGGGUAGUUUGACUGGGGUGGUCGCCUCCAAAAGCGUAACGGAGGCUUCUAAAGGUGCCCUCCGGCCGAUUGGUAACCGGCCUUAGAGUGUAAUGGCAUAAGGGCGCUUGACUGGGAGACUGACAAGUCGAUCAGGUAGGAAACUAGAGCAUAGUGAUCCGGUGUUUCCGUAUGGAAGGGACAUCGCUCAAAGGAUAAAAGGUACUCCGGGGAUAACAGGCUGAUCCCUCCCAAGAGCUCAUAUCGACGGAGUGGUUUGGCACCUCGAUGUCGGCUCGUCACAUCCUGGGGCUGGAGAAGGUCCCAAGGGUUGGGCUGUUCGCCCAUUAAAGUGGCACGCGAGCUGGGUUCAGAACGUCGUGAGACAGUUCGGUCUCUAUCUAUCGUGGGCGUAUGAAAUUUGCGUGGCUCUGACACUAGUACGAGAGGACCGUGUUGGACAGACCUCUGGUUUGCCGGUUGUGCCGCCAGGUGCAUUGCCGGGUAUCUAAGUCUGGAUCGGAUAAGUGCUGAAAGCAUCUAAGUACGAAGCCGGCCACAAGAUUAGAUUUCUCAGGGUCGUUGU